rnacentral:lncRNA from 1 species
GCACCUCGAGGUUUUUCAAGUCCUUCAACCAGCUUGGGAGCUUCAAUACGUAACGCAAGAAAUACCGUUGUCUAUGUAUUCUCAAGUACUUCAAUCCAAUCAAUAGCCGAAAAGAGUCGGGCAAUCUCUGAAACGCAAAGCCGUCAAGGUCGAGCAUCUUAAGGAGUUGAAAGCUCUUCCAGUAGUCAGAUGGAGUAGUCAUAUAAACAUUUCCAUCACCAUUGAGAUUAAAUAGGAAAAGAGAGCGAAGAUGCUUAUUCUGAUUUGUCGAGCGAUUCUCAAUAUUUUUGCCAUAGACAACACGAUGACGAGGUUUAUACGAGGAUUGUGAUGAAAAACCCUCCUCCCCCUUUACAAUCUCCAAGCCUAUUUCCUCCUUUGCUUUUCUUAAACAUACCUCGCGAAGAAGAUCAUGGAGGCGACAAGUCCCUACCCGAUUAUCAAUGGUUAGAUCCUCAACUUGAAGCAUGCUUCGAUUGAUCAACUCAUUUAAAUAACCUCUUGCUAUCUCAUUUGUUGUUCUGGUUCCUUCCUGUUGGAUCAAGCCUAGUCCAACCCAUAUAUUUAUCAGCCUUUUUGCCGGUAUAGUAAAGUCUUCCUUGAAAAAAGCUAGACACAAGAAGCAUGAUUUUAGUUGCGGAGACAAAUUGUGAUAACUCAACUCCAAAAUUGUUGGUACGCUGCUUUCAGUCCUUCCUAAAUAAGAGUUAAUUUGGUUAAGAACUUGUUCCCACCCACUCUUGCUUUGUGUUUCCACAAGUAGGCCUCUUACCACACUAAUAGCUAAUGGUAGACCACGACAUCUUUCCACGAUUUGUCUGCCUAUGGUCUCAAACUCUUCUGGAUAUUUUCCAUUAGCAUUUCUAAUGAAUGCAUUCUUCAAGAGCAAUUCCCAGCUCUUCUCGCGAUCGAGAAGCUUCAUCGUGUGCACAUAUUGAUCAUACUUUGUAAUAAUCUUGUUGCGAGUUGUAACCAAUAAUCUACUCCUUUUAUCUGUGAGAGAAGAGGUAAUUAAGUAUAAGAACAUGAGUUGAGAGAUGAGUGAUUCAUAUUCGUUCACCAAGAACAUGAAUGCCACUUGAAGAAUCAAUCCUGUAUAUAUAUAUAAAUUCUACUAAGUGCUUGUUUGGUCCAAGUAGAUGAAUGGAAAGGGAAUAUGUACAAGUAAAGGGAGAGAAUGAUAACAAUAACUAUUGUUUUUAUUGAGUGUUUGGUUUAACAAUGGAAAUGAAUCAUUAAUAAGAGGAUUCACUUUCUUUUAUUUCCCCUAUAUCUUGAGGGGUAACAAAUUGUAUGACUGGAUUACCCUGAAGUAAUGGUAAUAGUUAACUCAUUACCCAAGCCCAACAAUGGAUUCAAUUUUCAACUUCCAAAAACACCCAACCAAACAUGGGCUAAGUAUAUUUUACAUCUCAUGUUGUUAAUGAAAAAAUUAUUUAUCAUUUUCAAGUUUUUUUAAUAAAGUAUUUGGUCAUUUUUUAAAAAAAUAUAUGAUCAUACACUAAAACUAAAGAACAACCUAUAUAUUAGAGCUUGCUUGUUUGCCAGUAUGAGAUAUAAGCUUGAUAUGUUUAGUUAAAAUUUCUUAUAUAUUGUAUAAGGUAUUAAUAUUAUGUUUGGUUUAGAUGUAUUAAAUUAUUUGUUUUAUAAAUUAAUUAUAGCAGGAGAGUGAAAUUUUGAUAAUUUAAUAUUAAUUUAUAGUAGGAUGAUGAAAUUAUGGUAGUUUAAAAUAUUAAAUAAUAUAUUUAGGAUUUAUAUUACGUAUCCCGCCUAGAAGAUUGUUUACAGAAUCUCAAGAAUCUAUACAAUACAUAUAAGGCCCUAGCUUUAUAAAUGCCUCAUGUUUUGAAGCAAACAUGAUACUCCCUUUACCCCGCUAAAAAUAACUCGUUUCUUUUUUAUACAGAGAUUAAGGAAAAUGUGUAAAUUGGAUAAAGUUGAUACAUAAUUAGGCUAAUUAUUUUGAAUUUCGAUAUUUUUGGGCCACAUUUAAGCCCAAUUCGACGUCUACAUGCUACAUUUAGAGCUAUAUUUGGACUAAAGUAUAUCUGGACCCAAAUGUGAGUCUAUUUAAAACAAUUGAUUAUUUUUACAAGUCUAAAAAAAUUGGCUGCCCCUAAAAUAAGUACCUAAAAAAAAUUAAAACUCACCAUAAUUCUACCAUAAAAAUAGGCCUCUUUCUAACAUUUCAUAAAAUCAAUCCACCAACAAGCACAAAUUAGGAAAGGAAAAAAUAGAGUGGUCACCUUGUUGAUUUGGGAAAGCACUCAUGAGAGAUUCUAAAAUGUUCCUUCUCCCAAACAUCAUCCAGAACAAUGAAAUAUGACAUGCCAUCCAAUUGCUUAUGAAGCAUUUGCUUAAGCUCCUCUUGGACAAAUGGUUUAUCCUUCAUCAACUCCUCCAAAUUCUUCAUUUUCUUAAGCAGCUUGUUUUUGACUUGAUCAGAUCUUUGCAUCUGGAAGAUCAGCUGUUUGAUCGUCUCCCGUGGCGUAAAUUCGCUCGACACCACGACCCAGCCACGGCUGUCGAAUCUACCCACGACGUCGCAGUGGUUGUAUAUUGCUCGGGCAAGUGUAGAUUUUCCUAUCCCACCCAUCCCCUCUAACACCGCAAUCGAAAGCCCCUUCCUGUCCUCAUUAAGAAUUGAUUCUUCUAGCAAUUUUUGCACAUCCUCUUCGACGCCCACCAGGUGUUCGUCGUUUUUCAUAUGAGACAACCGCCGCCGCGAUUCAGCUUGCAAUCUCCACCCCGAGUCUGCCGUCGCCUCCUUGCCAAAAUCUGUAAUGCCAUACCUCUCGCGGCUCUUGUCAAUGGCGUCGAGCCUAGCACGGAUUGAUUCAAUCUCAUCCCCAAUUCUGUCGAGCCGGUACAUACGCUUCGCGAAGCUAGUGCAUCGCUUGAGAAGCCCCUUGCUCGAGUUCUCAACGUUGAUGAGGAACAUCUCGAUGGUAUCUUCGGCAUCCUGAGCCACCUCUCUGAUCUCCGAUAUCCAAUUAUGCACCCUCUUGUCUUCAAAUUGCUUUUUGUUGGCGUCAUCUAGAAAGGAUUGCAUCCUCUUGAGCUCGGCUUUCAGCGACUCCACCUUUCCCUCGACGCCUCGUAGGAAUUUCACCUUCUGGAUGAGCUGAUCGCCCAGCAGUUCCACCAGAGAUGAGAUCGCCGCUUCUGCCAUGUUGUUGUCGUUCGAUCUCUUGAUUUCAGAAAAUUGCUCUUUACUGGUUUAAGUGAAACAUAUAAGUCAGAUUGGAUAUAUGUGAUAGUGCCACUAAUGGGGGCGAGGUUGCAUACAGAAUGCUAUAUAUUCAGAGAACGGAUAAUAACCAAUAAAUCAAUAAAUUAAAUGAAUAAACCAAUAUAAUUGAAGAACAAACUUAUGUAUCUAUUUAAUAUUGUGAAAAUCUCGCCCGGAGGAGUAUUCGAUGGCACACGAAAAUGCCUGUUCAUAUGGAAUGUUGAUUUAUUCGGAGAAAUUAUUGACUUAUUGAUACACAUUCUCCAUUCUAUAUAGCAUUCUCUCGCCACUGACAUUGCGCAAAUAUUUAUGAAAAUCGAAAAUCGAACCGAACCCCCUCACCCCACAUAAAAAAAUGAUUUGAUUAUCGAUUUAAAAAAAAUUCUAUUUUGUCGUAUUUCGAUCUAUUGGGUAUUUCUCUGACUGAAUCAAAUCGAAAUAACCGAAUGAGCACAUUUUAUUUUUCAAAUAAUACUCCCUCCAUCCCUUAUAAAUAUGCAUAGUUGAUCAGGGCACGAGUUUUAAUAAAAAGUUUGUUAAAGUAUUGAUAGUGGAGAAAUGUUAUCACAUAGAGGGUAUUGUUAAAUUGAUUGUGGGUAAAUAAUUUAAGUUAAAAAGGUAAAAUUGUAAAAUAUUAUGUGUGGGGUAGUGUCCAAUACUAGAGUAUGCAUAAAUUUGAACCAAAAAUUAAAGUUAUGCAUAAAUAAGACGGAGGGAAUACUUAUUUCAAAUUAUAAUAGACAAGUCCUAUUAUUUUUUUGUAUUAUGUUUUUUUUAUUAUUAUUAUAGAUCUUGGGCUUGUUGAAGAUCACUUAUUUUGUUACACUAGUAGAUUUUGAAAAUGAUUAAAAUCAAUUUUUUUUUUAUCAUAAAAAAAUAAAAAAUUCGGAAAUUUUUAAAUAAUUAUACUGGUUUGGUUACUGAAAAAUUUCAGUUUGCUUCAAUUAUUUUCUCGUAAUUUCGGUUAUCAAGCCAAAAUCAAACCGAUAACCGAAUACUCAAUCCUAAUUACCACUCUAUCAUUAUCCAACUACUUCCUUCGUCCCACUGCAAUAGGCUCAGUCUUAAUAUAGAAAUGUUUAGGGCUUUAUUAAGUAACAAUAAUGGAGUACUAUUUAGUUUUUUCAUAAGGGAGUACUCUUAAAAUGUUACUUUUUGGUGGACCACACCACAUUUAACUACCAAAAAGUGAAUUUCUUAAUCUCCGUGCCGAAAACAAAUGAGCCUAUUGGCCUGGGACGGAGGGAGUAGUAUUUAUUGUUUUUUUUUAUAUACAACAUGUUGGGGAUAAUGAUUAGAAAGGAUUGAGCGGUGGAGUGAGGGGACUAGUAGAUUUUUGAAAAUUAAUAAAAAUGGUUUGUUUUGGUGAUGGAUAUGAGUUGAUAUAUACAACAUGUGGAUAAGGAGAAUCUUUGUGCAUACUGCGCAUCGGGCUAGAGUAUGGGCUCUGCGAAUAAAGACAACUCAGUUUCAAUCACGGAAUGAUGAAAAUGGAAUUAUUUAAUGUUUUAUUUAUUCAUUAAUUUCAAGAGAUACAUAUCUUGAAUUUUGGAAACGUCGAAACAAAAUGAAAAUCAUACAGGGUGUAAAGUAAGUAAUAUGCCAAAAAAGUCACCAUUUUUUGGAGAGGGACCUGAGCUUAAUUAUUGAGGUCAGUGGUCCACAAAGAUAAAGUAGAAUCAUUUUUUUUAAAUUUCCAUCUAUCCAUAUAUAUAGACACUUACAUCAGAUAUCAGUAGUACUUAGAAUUACUAGAACUCCACAAGCUUUUUAGGACCAUUUCUUUGACAGUUUUUUAAAUUUAUGACAUUUUUUUUUGGACUUGGACAAAUUUUCAAAAAUUAGGCAUAAGUGGGACAAAUUAAGCCUGAUCGCCGAAUUUUUGAUAUUUUGUCCUGCAACUGUAAGCUCAAAAAUAUUUGUCCUACAUUUGCAAUACAGACAAAGUUACGGUCCUAAAAAAACUUUAGGCUCAAUUAAAAUUUAAUUCAUCAUAUUUUAUUUUCUUGCUCAAUGUAUUAUGUUCAUGUUUCAAAGUUUUUUAUUUCCCUUAAAUAUAUUUUCUACUAUUUUAUAUAAAUAUGAUAGAAAAUAUAAUUUGAAGUAAUUUGUCUAUAAUGUAAACUCAAAAAAUAAAAAAACUAUAUAAAAAAUAAUUUUAUACCUUUUAAAAUAAUUUAUAUUAAUACUCCAUCAGUCCACAAAAAAUAGUACGCCCUUUGAAUAUGAGAACAUUCACACAGAAGAUAUUAAGAUUAUGAGUAGUUUGUUGUUAUUAACAUUAUGCUAAAGUUAUAUAUUAUUAAAGAGAUAGCUUAAAAGCAAAAAAUUAAUCAUAAUUUGCCUUAUAUAUUAUAUACUCCGUAUUAUUUACUAAUUUGUUAAGUUUAGGAACUAUAAGAAAAGAAUGUAAAUAAUUCACCUUAAUUUGCCUCAUUGUAUAUGUUAAAUAUUCAUUAUUAGAAUAUUGAAAACAACAUUCCGAUGACAAAUUGUUGUAUUAUUCAUAUUUGGAUAUUGUGUUGCACAAUAUGAUGAACAAUUUGCGAAACCUAAUUGAAAGGCAAAACAUGAAAUGAGAAUUUUAUGCAUAACCAAUAAUAUGAAUACGCUUAUCUUAGGCUGGUUUACAAAAAUAGGUCAAUUUUUUUUUUAACUUGCCGAAAUUUACCAAUUAUUUUAAAAUUUGACCCAAAUGUGACUUAUAAACGCCAAAUUGGGCCCAAAUACAGCCCAAGAACACCGAAAUUUAAAAUAAUUGACCUAAUUUUACAAGCAAAAAAAAGGCAUAUUUUGUACAAACGGGGUGUAAUCGAACCGAGCCGAACCGAAUAGUGGUGUGCUCAAGUUUGGUUUGUUUUGUAUCGAAUUGAAUCCCGAACUUUACUUACCGAAUACUUUGAGGCUCAUGAGGGGCUCACGAGCCUGAUCGAGCCUAUACGAACUUUCUAAAUUUAUAUUUAUAUUCACAAUAUUGAUUAUUUAUAUUAAAAUAAAUUAUUAUAUUCAAAAUAAUAAAAUAUAUUAAUUAUUUUCUUAUAACAAACAAAAUUAAUUAGAGAUUUAAUACAAUUAUUAUUAAUUUUAGUGGAUAAACAUAAGUUGUAUCUACUAAUAAUUUAUAUUUUUCAAUAUGAAUCACUUGANGGAUAUUUUCCAUUAGUAUUUCUGAUGAAUGCAUUCUUCCAGAGCAAUUCCCAGCUCUUCUCGCGAUCUAGAAGUUCCAUCGUGUGCACAUAUUGAUCAUACUUUGUAAUAAUCUUGUUGCGAGUCGUAACCAAUAAUCUACUCAUUUUAUCUGUGAGAGAAGAGGGUAAUUAAGUAUAAGAAUAUGAGUUGAGAGAUUCGGUAUUGAGAUUCGUUAACUCUUACAAUGAACAUGAAUGUUGCUUGAUAGAAUCAAUCGUAUAUAUAAAUUCUACUAAGUAUAUUUUGCAUUUCAUGUUAUUUAUGCAACAAUAUUUAUCAUUUUCAAGUUCUUUUAAUCAAGUAUUGGGUCAUUUGCAAUUUCUAAACUAAUUGAAUUUUUAAAGGGAUAAUUGCAAUUUAGUAUUUUGAAAUAAUUGAUCUAAACUUAUAUAAACAUUAUGAGAUAUGAAAAUAGAAUUCUAUUAACUUAGUGUCUCGUUAAAUAGAACACCAAGAAGAAGAAAAUUACAAGCGAACCUAAAGCCUUUGUUGGUAGUCUUGCGGAUUCUAAUAUAAUUAAUAAUGAUUAUAACUGGUAAUUCUAAAAUUAAAUUGAGAAUACAAUUAAUUAAUAGUAAUUUAAAUGGAGGAAGAACUCUAAUAUCACAACAUUGAUUAUAUUAUUUUAAUGAAAUUAAAUAUAUAAUCCUAAAAUAAUGUGAAUUUUUUUCAGAGGUAUAAUAUUCCAUCCAUCCUCCGAACACAUUCACAAUUUUCUGUUUUAGCACAUUUUACGAAAAUAUUUAUUUUCCACUUUUGAAUACUAUCGCACCACAGGUCCCUUGUUGUAUAUAUGCCUAUUGUUUCAACAUAUUUACAAUUUUACUACAUGGCUCCCUACAAAUUCUUUAUUUUUUAUUCUCAUUUUCUCAACUUAUUCACAACUUUGCCACAUGGCCCGUCACAAACUCCUUAUUUUUAUAUUCCUUAUAUUACUCUUAAAUUCAAUAAUAUAAAAGAUGUACUCUCCUUCGUCUCACAAAAACAUGAACAUUUGAAAGUGGCACGGAUUUUAAAAAAUAUUAGAUAAAAGUGUAUUAUGAAUGGAAAAGGGGUCCCAUCUAUGAAAAGUAGAAAUAAAAAGUAAAGAAAUUAUGAUGGAGGUAGUGUAUUUUCAUGUUUUUGUGAAACGACCAAAAAUGGCAAAAUAUUCAUGUUUUUGUGGACGGAGUGAGUAUGAUAUAUCAGAACACCAAGCACAAGGUACAAAAGGAAAAAUUGAAUGGUUACCUUGUUGAUUUGGGAAUGCACUCAUGAGAUAUUCUAAAUGUUGUUUCUCCCAAACAUCAUCGAGAACAAUGAAAUAUGAUUUGCCAUCCAAUUGCUUAUGAAGCAUUUGUUUAAGCUCCUCUUGGACAAAUAGUUUAUCCUUCAUCGACUCCUCCAAUUUCGUCAUUUCGUCAAGCAGAUCCUUUUUGUCUUGAUCAGACCUUCGCAGCUGGAAGAUGAGCUGUUUGAUCGUCUCUUGUGGUGUAAAUUCACUCGACACUGCAACCCAGCCACGGCUGUCGAAUCUACCCACGAUGUCGCGGUGGUUGUAUAUUGCCCGGGCAAGUGUAGAUUUGCCUAUCCCACCCAUCCCCUCUAACACGGCAAUCGAAAGCCCCUUCCUCUCCUCAUUAAGAAUUGAUUCUUCCAGCAGUUUUUUUACGUCAUCUUCCACGCCCACCAGGUGUUCGUCGUUUUUCAUAUGAGACAACCGCCGCCGCGAUUCAGCUUGCAAUCUUCCUACAUUUACAAAAUUGUCAAAGUUAUGGGCCUAAAAAAGGAAUAGAGGAAAGAAAAUUUUUAAAAAAUUUAAUGUUUAAAUAAAUAUAACUUUUACAUUUUGAAUCAAAUAUUUACAUAAAAUAUAUCAAAUUAAAGCUCUUAUCAUGAUCUUUAAUUUGAUAUGCAUAUUAAAUAUUUUUUAAUAGUCGAAUUUCACAUUUAAAAAGAAACAAAACACAAAAAUAAAACAUAAUAAAGGAUAUAAAAAGAAAAAAUACUUUUAGAAAUAAGGAAUAUAUUUUAGGCCAGUAACUUUGGCCGUUUUGCAAAUGUAGGAUAAUAUUUUUGGGCUUGCAAUUGCAGGACAAAUUGUUUUUUCAGGCUCAAUUUAUCCUACUUAUGUCGAAUUUUUGAAAUUUUUUACUACAAUUGUAAGUCCAAAAAAUUUUGUCCUACAUUUGCAAAAUGGCCAAAGUUACUGUCUUUUCUCAGGGAUUCGUUCACUCUUACAAAGAACAUGAAUACUAAGUAUAUUUUGCAUUUCAAGUUAUGUAUGCAACAAUAUUUAUCAUUUUCAAGUUUUUUUAAUCAAGUAUUGGGUCAUUUAAAAAAAAUUAUAUGAUCAUACACUAAAACUAAAGAAUUAAGGGAAAAUUGUAUGAAAAUACCCCACUUUAAUCCAAAUUUGAUUUUUUGACAAUCUUUUUUUUUUGUUGCAAAAAUUUGAACGAGCUUUCAAUUUGUUGUAAUGUCCGUCCGGAGAUAUCUUCCAUGCAAUUUUUGGUUGCAAUGUCUAUCAUAUCACUACAUAGAUGCAAUGAAAUGAAAGCCUUACAGGAAGNCAUAACCUUUAAAAUUUGAAAAAAAAAUACACAACCUUUCGAUUUUUUCUGAUUUUCGUCACGGGCAUAAAACACUCUCAAAUAGAAGUUGAUUUUAGAGCUUUUGACUUAUAUUUUUUGAUACAUAAGCGUGGGGGAUAAUAAAGGUGCCAUAAUAAAGCCGACGUACACGCUUAGGUAUCAAAAAAACUAAAUCAAAAGCCCAAAAAUCAGUUUCUAUUUGAGAGUAUUUUAUGUCCGUGGGAAAAAUCAGAAAAAAUCGAAAGGUUGUGUAUUUUUUUUCAAAUUUUAAGGGCUAUGGGAAAAAUCAGAUAUUAUUGAAAGUUCGUGUAUUUUACGGUAAAUAUCCCUUCUAUAAAAACAUUCAUUUUUCUUUUUUGAAUAUUAUCGCUUCACAAACCCCAUACUUUUUAUUCCUAUUUUCUCAACUUAUUUACAAUUUUACCAUAUCGCUCACAACAAAUUCUUUAUUUUCGAUCCUCACAACUUUAUUACAUGGCUCGACACAAACUCCUUAUUUUUUUAUUCCUUACAUUACUCUUAAAUUGAAUAAUACUCCCCCAUCCACGAGAGAACUUGCUGACACGGAGUGAUACGGAUUUUAAGGAAAAAGUUGUUGAGUGUAUUGAGAGUGGAGAAAAAGUUAUUGAGUGUAUUGAGAAUGAUGAAAAUGUAUUUUAAUUAGUAUUGUGAGCGGUAAAAACAUGAAAAAUUAAGGAUAAUGAGAUAUUUAUAAGUGAUUAAGUAUAGUCCAAAAAUAGAUAAGAAGUUCUUUUGUGAACGUCCCAAAAAGGAUAAGUAGGAAGUUCUCUCGUGGACGGCGGUAGUAUAAGAGAUGUAUGAUAUAGCAUAACAACAAGCACAAGCUAGAAAAGGAAAAAUUGAAUGGUUACCUUGUUGAUUUGGGAAAGCACUCAUGAGAGAUUCUAAAUGUUCCUUCUCCCAGACAUCAUCCAGAACAAUGAAAUAUGAUUUGCCAUCCAAUUCCUUAUGAAGCAUUUGUUUAAGCUCCUCUUGGACAAACAGUGUAUCCUUCAUCGACUCCUCCAGUUUCUUUAUUUCGUCAAGCAGCUUCUGUUUGUCUUGAUGAGACCUUUGCAGCUGGAAGAUAAGCUGUUUGAUCGUCUCCUGUGGUGUAAAUUCACUCGACACCACAACCCAGCCACGGCUGUCAAAUCGACCCAAGACGUCGCAGUGGUUGUAUACUGCUCGGGCAAGUGUAGAUUUGCCUAUCCCACCCAUACCCUCUAACACCGCAAUCGAAAGCCCCUUCCUCUCCUCAUUAAGAAUUGAUUCUUCUAGCAGUUUUUUCACAUCCUCUUCCACGCCCACCAGGUGUUCGUCGGUUUUCAAAGGAGACAACCGCCGCCGUGAUUCAACUUGCAAUCUCCACCCUGAGUCCGCCGUCGCCUCCUUGCCAAAAUCUUUAAUGCCAUACCUCUCGCGGCUCUUGUCAAUGGCGUCGAUCUUAGCAAGGAUUGAUUCAAUCUCAUCCCCAAUUCUGUUGAGCUGGUACAUACGCUUCGCGAACUUAGUGCAUCGUUCGAGAAGCCCCUUACUCUUCGAGUUCUCAACGUUGAUGAGGAACAUCUCGAUGGUAUCUUCGGCAUCCUGAGCCACCUCUCUGAUCUCCGAUAUCCAAUUUUGCACAUUCUUGUCUUCAAAUUGCUUUUUGUUGGCGUCUUCCAGAAAGCAUUGCAUCCUCUUGAGCUCGGCUUUCAGGGACUCCACCUUUCCCUCGACGCCUCGUAGGAAUUUCACCUUCUGGAUGAGCUGAUCGCCCAGCAAUUCCACCAAAGAUGAGAUCGCCGCUUCUGCCAUGUUGAUGUCGAUCGAUCUCUUGAUUUCAGAAAAAUGCUCUUUUAAGUGUUGUUCAAAGUUGGUAAUGGUUUAAGUAAAAAAAAAAAAGUCAUAUUGGAUAUAUAUGAUAGUGCCGCUAACAGGGUAUGGUUCCAUGGAGAAUGAUAUAUAUUGAGACAGUGAAGAAUAAUGAAUAAAUCAAUAAAUUUUAUGAAUAAACAAUAUAACCGAUGAACAAAUAAAAUGUAUCUAUUUAAUAUGGUAAAAAUCUCACAUGCAUUCAUCAUUCUCUAAAUAUAUAACAUUUUUCAUGUGGAAUCUUUUUCGCCACUAACAUAAAAUAUUUAUAAAAAAAAGAAUUGUUUGAUUAACCAUUAAAACAAAAUCAACGUUUCGAUUUUCUGUCAAUUUGGUAUUUCUAUGACGGAAUCGAAUCGAAAUAACCGAAUUAGCACAUUUUGUUUUUUAAAUAAUAUUUAUUUCAAAUAAAGUUCCUACUAUUUUUUGUAUUAUGUUAUUAUUAUUGUAGAUCUAGGGCUUGUUGAACAUCACUUAUUUUGUUAGACUAGUAGGUAUUGAAAAUGAUUAAAAUUAAUUUAUUUUUUUGCAUAAAAAAAUAAAGAUUCGGAAAAUUUAAGUAACUUAUUAUUGUGGUUUGGUUAACCAAAAUUUCAAUUUGUUUCAAUUUUUUUCUCAUAAUUUCGGUUAUCAAGCCAACAUAGAACGGGAUAACCGAAUACUCAAUCUGAAUUACCACUCAAUUAUUACCUAAUUAAUAUUAGAUUUUUUUUAAUAUUAAAUUUCAAAAAUGGCUUGUUUUGGUGAUGGUGAUGAGUCAUGAGUUGAUAUAACAUGUCGGGCAUAAUGAGAGUCUCUGUGCAUAGUGCGCAUGAUGGAGUAUGGGCCCUGCCCCUGCGAAUAAAGAUCACUUGGUUUCAAUCACCGAAUGAAAAAUGGGAUGUGUUGAUGUUUUAUUUAUUCAUUAAUUUCAAGACAUACAUAUCUUAUAUCAUGGAGACGUCAAAAGAAAAUGAAAAUGCAUUGUCUGAAAAAUGAAAAUCAUACAGGGUGUAAAGUAAGUAAUAUGCCAAAAUAGUCACCAUUUUUUGGAGAGGGACAUGAGCUUAAUUAUUGAGGUCAGUGGUCCACAAAGAUAAAGUAGAUUCAUUUUUGAAAUUUCCAUCUAUCCAUAUACAAAAACACUUACACCAGAUAUUAGGUUUGGUGCAGAUGAUUAAGGUGUAUAACAUACGUAUGACAUUCUAAUAUUUUAUUUGUUAAGAAAUAAUACGACAUACAUGACCGUUUAUAAAUCAAAUGUCCGAAAAUAUUUAUACAUCACAAUUCGUUUUUCCCUAAAAGAAGUUCAUCAAUUAAACCAACGAUCAAGGGGAUUCCAAAAUCUUAUGGCAUUAGAAUUCUAUUUAAUUUAUUGCAUAUUUUAUUUUAAGGUUAUUUUACAGUAUUAUAAUUUAUUUAAUUUAUAUUAUUUAUUUUAAGGUUAUUUACAGUAUUAUAUAUUUAUAAGAAUAUAUNAAUUUAAGGAUAAUUGUGUUAUUUAAAACUAUAAAAUCUAUAAAAAUAUUAUACAUUAUUAUCACUAUUAUGUACUUGUCUUUUAAUAGAAAAUAGCCUAAAAUGGAUGGAAUGCCCAAAAAAAUUUGUUUGCCAUUAUUACUAUGCUUGUCUUUUAUUAUUAUUAUUCAUUCUAGCUUGUAAUUUAUUGAAAAUAUAUAAUUUAUGAAAAUAUUGUUCGUUAUUAUUGCUAUUAUGCUUGUCUACUAAUAAAAAAUGCCUAAAAUGUACGAAAUAACAAAAAAAAAAGUUUGUAAUGUAUUGAAAUUAAUUUGUAAUAUAUUGAAACUAUAUAGUAUAUGAAAAUGUUGUUCUUUAUAAUUACUAUUAUGCUCGUUUUUAAUAAAAAAUGCUUUAAAAAUACAGAAUGUCCCAAAUAUUUUUGUAAUGUAUUGAAACUAAUUUGUUAUAUAUUUAAAUUAUAUAAUCUAUGAAAAUGUUGUUCUUUAUAUUACAGUGGUGAAAAAGUGUUAUACUAAUUAAUAUUGAGAGUUGUGAAAAGUAAAAAGUAAGAGGAUUAUAAGUGGUGGGGUAUAGUCCAAAAAUAGGUAGGAAGUUCUUUUGUGGACGUCCCAAAAAGGCAAGAUAGGAAGUUCUUUCGUGGACGGAGGGAGUAUAUGUUGAUGUUUUAUUUAUUCAUUAAUUUCAAGACAUACAUAUAUCAUGGAGACGUGAAAAGAAAAUGAAAAUGCAUUGUCUGAAAAAUGAAAAUCAUACAGGGUGUAAAGUUAGUAAUAUGCCAAAAUAGUCAACAUUUUUUGGAGAGGGACAUGAGCUUAAUUAUUGAGGUCAGUGGUCCACAAAGAUAAAGUAGAUUCAUUUUUGAAAUUUCCAUCUAUCCAUAUACGAAAACACUUACAUCAGAUAUUAGCAGUGGCUAGUUUGGUGUUUGGUGCAGAUGAUUAAGGUGUAUAAUAUACGUAUGGCAUUCUAAUAUUUUAUUUGUUAAAAAGUAAUACGAAAUACACGACCAUUUAUAAAAUAAAUGUCCAAAAAUAUUAUAUUGAUUUGAGGGAUUCUGUAUAUCACGUAUGGAGGUGGUAUACAUAUAUAAUAUAAUAAUAAUUAUAACUAUUAUUAACUUUAUAUACUAUUAAUAUAUUAUACCAAACAACAUAUUAUAUUUUACAACUAUUUAAAUGCAUUUUACCAAAUAUGAUAUUAAUAUGACACAUAUAGUAAAAGAUACCCCGAUCAAACAUAUAACGCCUUAUCUCAUACCGCGUACGAAAUGAGCCCUAGUAGUACGAUUAGUAGUACUAGGAACCCAAAGUUUUUUUAGGCCUCGUAACUUUGGUUAUUUUGCAUAUGUAGGACAAAUUUUUUCGGGCUUGCAAUUGCAGGACAAAUUCAGUCAUGUAAUUGCAAGCCCGAAAAAAUUUGUCCUACAUUUACAAAACAACUCAAUUAAAAUUUAAUUCAUCAUCUUGGUGUGCAUUCAUAGGAUAGGCGCUUCCCUAUGCAAACUAGGUAUUCUUCAUUGUUGGAUUCAAGAAAAGACAAUGCAAGAGAGCGAGGUUAUAUUAUGUUCACGUUUUAAAGUUCUUUAUCUCCCUUAAAUAUAUUUCCAACUAUUUUAUAUAAAUAUGAUAAAAAAAAACAAUUCAAAAUAAUUUGUCUAAAAUGUAAAUAAAAAAAGAAAAAAGAAAUUAUGUUUUUUUUCAUGUGAUGGUAGCAUCUGAAACUAGCAAUUUGUCUAAAAUGUACAUUACUUUUAUUAUUAGGAGUCAAUUAUAUGUGAAUGCAAUUGCGCAUAGUGCAAAAUAGGGGAAGAAAAAAAGUUUCUAAUAUAUAUGGAGAGAGGUUAUACAUUCAUUGAGUUGGGUUCAAAAUACGUACCCAAUAGAUCAAAAUCUAUGCUAUAUUAAAAAGUCAAAAUUAACUCAAAUUGAUUUCAAAAUUGAGUGGUAAUUUUAUAGUUAUAAUAAAAUUGAAAGUUUAUUUAUAAACUAGUAUAUUUUUUCUUUUAAUUUAUCUUUUUUUAUUAUUUUAUUUGUUUCUAAAAUUGUGUAAUUCGACGUCUAAUUAUAAAUUAUUUAUAUGCAUAUCAAAUUAAUGAUCACAAUAGGAGCUUUAAUUUGAUAUAUUUUAUAUAAAUAUUUGAUUUAAAAUGUAAAAAUCAUGUUUAUUUAAAGAUUAUGGUGCGUUUACUUUGAUGGAUAAAUUUAUUAUGUGAAAAUGAAGAAUAACAAAAAUUUAUGCCUUUAAAUGCCUCCUUUAUUUUCCCACAUUUUAUACACAAAAGAAGUUCACCAUUUUUUCUUCAACAAAAAAAUGCUACUCCUUCCACCCCCAAAUAACUUCCUAAUUUUUCUUUUUGGUUGGUCUCCUAAAAAAAUUUCCUUUAUAUUUUUGGACUAUAACCCACCACUAAUAAUACCACACUUACCCUUACUUUUUCACAUUUUCACCACCUACGAAGUUAUUUGGGCUCGAGGAAGUAGGGAGUACAAUUUUUCAUAUAUAAUAUUGCUAUUAUAUAUCUAGAUAAUGCUAUUUUAACAUAAACAUAAUGUUUUUUUGUAAUAGAAACUGGUGGAGUUUAUAAAUUUUUGUGAGAGAAGAUGGUUUCUUUUUUUGGAACAAGCCAUUAUCAAUGAGACAGACGAAAAAGGAAAGUGAGCCUUUAUCAAUGAGAAUUGAGGGGAGUGGUAUAUUUUAAAUAGCCAAAAUGAAGUUCGUGCUAAUAGUAUUUCAAUAUUGAUUAGUAUAUUGCUAAGAAAUGUUACUUGGAAAAUUUAUAUAACAAUAUAACGAGUUCAAAAUUUUGUAGGCCACUAACAUAGGGCGCUUUGCAAAAUUAGGCCAUAGUUUUUCGGGCUUGCAAAUUUGGGCCAUUUAUUAUUAAUUUCGGCGUAAGUGAGCCACAUUUGGGCCCGAUCGGACUAUUUUGCACAUUAUACGUGCGUGACUUCACAGUUGGAGUCCGAAUGCUAAUGUGGAAUUUUAAUUCAUUCUUUUAUUUGGCAAAUUUAUAUAUAUGUAAAAAUAAAUAAUAAAAUAAUCCAUAAUUAAAAGACAGAAAUAAAAAAUGAAUUAAAAAAAUAUAUUAAAAAUACACAAAUAAUUGCUUUUUCUCGACGACACACGUAUGGUCGAAAUUAAAUUGCAGAAAUAUAUAUGUUCGUCAAGAUAUCCUAAUGCACCGUAUAAAAAAAUAUAAUACAUAAUACAUAUUUUCCUCAAGAUAACAAUAAUUAUUUAUAUAUUUAUAAAAAGACAGCUUAUACUAUAUAAUAGGAAGCACAAAGAAAAGAUUCAUGACCAAUCACAUUAAAUAGUAGGCCAUAUCGAUGUGAAGCUUAAACCAUAUGCUUUGUAAGCAAUAAGCUACUUGGUUUGGUCCACUCUUCUCUUUCAACAAGGAGACAUUCACUAUUAACAACUAGCUAAUUUGUGGCUCUAAUACCAUGAAUAAAUGUAAAAUAUCAUACUCACUCCGUCCACAAAAAAAUAGUCAUAGAAGAGGACGACACGGGUUUUAAUGAAAAUGGUUGAGUUUAAUUAUUGUGAGUGGAGAAAUAGUCCCACUAAAACAAUAGUAUUGAUAAUGAUAAUUAAAUGUAUUGUGAAUGGGGAUAAGGGCCCACCAUGUGAUAGAAAGUUGUCAAAAGUGAAAAGAGACUAAUUUUUGCGGAAGUCCCAAAAUGGCAAAAAGAGACUAUUUUUUGUGGACGGAUGGAGUAUAACGAAUUAUAACUAAUUAUACAUCCUUAUGGCCUUGAUGUGCCCCCACAGAUUCUUCGCAUCCAGAUUCUCGCAUUUAUGGAUCCGGAGAAGUUUGAGGUGCGGCAUUCCACCUUCUUCUAUAUCGAUACUUCUCAACUCAGACAUGUUCCGGAGGGAGAGGCCCUCGAGGCGGGGGAACCCGUCACGCAACACUUUCAUGCUCCGAUGCUCGUAAGCAUAUUCAGAUAACAUGAGAUACUGCAGCUUCGGCAGCUUACCCAAUUCCGGCAUCGGAUCCUUAAUUAGCUUUGCAUACUCCAACGUAAGGUGAGUAAGAUUUGGAGGGAAUUUACUCGCAUCCGGACAUCCAUGCAUCUUACCGUGUAGUUUGAGUUUUGUGAUGCUGCCGAGCUGGGGAAUGAUGUUUGAGUUGAACAACAAUGAGUUGCAUUUUAGGUGUAGUUCCACAAGAUUCGUCAUCUUCUCCAACGAUGCUCUCGCCAUGCUCAAAUCCUUAUUUCCUUCCAUUCCAUUCAUAUGUAUGCCCAAUUCGCGAACACGGCAACUUGCCAUUAGUUUUGAGCUGCAUUCUAGCCAAUCCUUUAGCCUCAUGCCUUUCACACUCUCAAUAUUUUUCCAAUUCUCGAUGCUCAUUGGUUUGCCCAAGACGCUGUAUAUGUGGAAGUGACGUAGUUUUUCCAUUUCCAGUGCAACAUUCGGGAACACUAUCACCUCAUUCUCUACGUCAAGCACCUCGAGGUUUUUCAAGUCCUUCAACCAGCUUGGGAGCUUCAAUACGUAACGCAAGAAAUACCGUUGUCUAUGUAUUCUCAAGUACUUCAAUCCAAUCAAUAGCCGAAAAGAGUCUGGCAAUCUCUGAAAUGCAAAUCCGUCAAGGUCGAGCAUCUUAAGGAGUUGAAAGCUCUUCCAGUAAUCGGAUGGAGUAGUCAUAUAAACAUUUCCAUCACCAUUGAGAUUAAGUAGGAAAAGAGAGCGAAGAUGCUUAUUCUGAUUUGUCGAGCGAUUCUCAAUAUUUUUGCCAUA